UACGUAGGUGGCGAGCGUUGUUCGGAAUCACUGGGCAUAAAGCGCGCGUAGGCGGCCAAGCAAGUCAGGCGUGAAAUACCUCGGCUCAACCGAGGAACUGCGCCCGAUACUGCCUGGCUUGAGGGCCGGAGGGGAGAGUGGAAUUCCCGGUGGAGCGGUGAAAUGCGUAGAGAUCGGGAGGAACACCAGAGGCGAAGGCGGCGACCUGGACAGGUACUGACACUCAACUACGAAAGCGUGGGGAGCAAGCAGG
rnacentral:rRNA from 1 species